AUGAACGCUGGCGGCGUGCUUAACCCAUGCAAGUCGAGCGAGAAGUUUUGAAAAGAUUCUUCGGAUGAAAUUUAAAAUGGAAAGCGGCGGACGGGUGAGUAACGCGUAGGCAACCUGCCCCAUACAAAGGGAUAGCAUUUGGAAACGAAUAUUAAUACCUUAUGAAACUUAACUAGUGCAUGCUAGGUAGGUCAAAGAUUUAUCGGUAUGGGAUGGGCCUGCGUCUGAUUAGCUAGUUGGUGAGGUGACGGCUCACCAAGGCGACGAUCAGUAGCCGACCUGAGAGGGUGAACGGCCACAUUGGAACUGAGACACGGUCCAAACUCCUACGGGAGGCAGCAGUGGGGAAUAUUGCACAAUGGGGGAAACCCUGAUGCAGCAACGCCGCGUGAAAGAUGAAGGCCUUUGGGUCGUAAAGUUCUGUUCUAGGUGAUGAAAACUGACAGUAACCUAGGAGAAAGCCCCGGCUAACUCCGUG
rnacentral:rRNA from 1 species